GGUAUGAUAACUCAUUUCAGUUUUAACUUCUCUAAUAAUGUUACACAUCAAUCUGCCAAAAUUUGGGUGCAGGAAGGGAGUGGGAAGUACUGUCUCUUGAAGCUGGUAACAUAAUGCAUGUCUUCUCAAGGAAGUAGAACUAUGGGUAGAAAUUAGAAAUUUGAAGUUGGUUUUAAAGGCUAUUAUAUUUAGGUUCAAGAAUUCUAUUAUUCUUUUUCUUAGAAUUGGUGCAAAUAAUGUUCUAAGCACAGAAGCAUGCCUUAAUAUUUUGUAUUUUAUGUUUCUUAGGUUUUGUUCUCUUGUAAUAUUUUUUGUAAUUGG
rnacentral:lncRNA from 1 species